GGUGUUAAGUUUGUAAAAAGAAGUUUAGAUCUUUCUCAACUGAGAUAGGAAAGCUAUUUGGGACAAACAUGAAUUUCUGCAUAUCGCCUCUACGUAGGGACCAUAGCCUCAAGUUGGUUUGCUCUAAAAUCUAAAUAUAAACAUACAGAAAAGGUAUAACAUUAUAUGAUUUGGAAGCAUGCAUGUUUACUUUAUAGGUCCAAGUUGCUGGUUGAUCAGUUAAUAAAUUGAGUUUUUCUUUCACUACUGUAUUAGGACUAUGCUAUUCGUCCUCAACAGAUACAGUAUUUAUCUUGAUAUAUGGAGUGCACAGUUUCUUUUAUUGCACCAGCUAUUGGAACACACGGGAAACAGAACUUAUCUGGGAUAAGAAUAAAGGAGUUCUAUCAUAAAGAUCCAUUGUGAAAGGAUUUAUGAGGAUUCAUCUGCGACAACAGAACGAAGUGUACCAGCGCCAGAACUCAUCAGUUGCUUUGGACAAUGAACAAGAGGCCUCAGCUUGAUGUCCAGUGGGAAGCAUUUUUGCUGUAAUUAGUAACAGGAGCAUGAUGAAGAGGGAUUUCAGCGACUUUGGCUCUCUCAUCCUGCAGCGUAGAGAACACACUUUCUAGUUUCUACCUCCAGUUCGUCGCCAAUUAUGUUUGUCCAAUGUUGAAUAAGUUACUGUUGAAUUGAUAUUUCUCGUCGUCAAAGUGAAGCAUCAUUUGGUAAUUCAUUGAAAGUGCCUGAUGUGGAAGUAAGGACUUAUUUUCUCUCAUGCAGAAUCCUGGGACUUUGUCAACAACCGCAUUACAAAUCUCAAACUUAUACAUGUCUAAAUCAAGCAUAGGCAGCCAUCCUGAACAAGAAUUCUGGAAAUAUUUUCACGGCCUGUGCCACUCAGCCUCAACAGAUACGGUAUGUAUGUCGAUAUAUGGAGUGCACAGUUUCCUUCAUUACACCACCUAUCGGAACACACAGGAAACAGAGCUUCUUUCUUAUCUGGGAUAGGACGCAGGAGUUUUAUCAUAAAGAUCUUUUGUAAAAGGAUUUACAAGGAUUCAUCUGCAACAACAGAAGGAAGUGCUAGAUUUCAUAGUUGGUUUGGAGAAUGAACAAGGUGAGUCUCCUUGUGCUAUAUUUUUCAUGUACUUUUGAGUUGUGUCUUAUAUUGUAUAU